AGGGUUUGAUUCUGGCUCAGAACGUACGCUGGCGGCACGCCUAACACAUGCAAGUCGAACGAAGUAGCAAUACUUAGUGGCAGACGGGUGAGUAACAUGUAGGUAUCUGCCCUUUGGCCUGGAAUAACACGAGGAAACUUGUGCUAAUACCGGAUAAGUCUUUACGGAGAAAGCUUUAUGCACCAUUGGAUGAGCCUGCACUUGAUUAGUUUGUUGGUGGGGUAAUGGCCUACCAAGACUGUGAUCAAUAGCUGAUUUGAGAGGAUGAUCAGCCACAUUGGGACUGAGACACGGCCCAAACUCCUACGGGAGGCAGCAGUGGGGAAUCUUGCACAAUGGAGGAAACUCUGAUGCAGCGAUGCCGCGUGAGUGAAGAAGGCCCUUGGGUUGUAAAGCUCUUUCGUCGGGGAAGAAAAUGACUGUACCCGAAUAAGAAGGUCCGGCUAACUUCGUGCCAGCCGCCGCGGUAAUAC
rnacentral:rRNA from 1 species